UGUUGUGUGACCAAAAAAGAAGAAGAAGAAGAAGAAGAAGAAGAAGAAGAAGAAGAAGAAGAAGAAGAAGAAGAAGAAGAAGAAGAAGAAGACAAUUCCAAGCAUUUAACAGAGAGGAUCAAAGAGAUGGGGCGGGCAUAGUUGCUGCCAUUGUGAUAACAGCCUGACAUUUGCAAGCAGCCAAAAUGGCAAUGCCAAGACGAUGUAGACCCUCCUCUGGGAAAGGGAACAUACAUGUGCACAGCUGCAGUCAAGAUGGUGAGAGCCAGUUCUCCUCAACAACCUCCUGCAGGCCAAGCAUGAAAAAAUAUUCGCAGCAGGCCUGGAAACAAUAAGAGUACAGGAACUGCCAUCCAUGGAUUUGCCACUCUGCAAAGCACAGUCUAUGAUCCAGUAGAUGAAGUGGUUUCAGCAGGACUGGGUCCGCUUCCUGCUGCUUCGGGACAAAUCAGAGGGCAGCUGCAGAUGUAAUUACUUUCCAAUCUACUGGCAGUGCAAAGCAUGGUGGCCACUAGGCCUUUGGAGGACUUUCCGUGUUUGCAGUUCCCAGUUUCAACAAUGGACACCUCACUGGGCUUAAUUGUGUGUUUCCUGGGUUUGCAGACCAAAACAAAUCUUCUGAUCAUGUGCUGCUACUGGAGUAGGAGCUCUCUUACUCUCCAAGCUACCCCCAAAUGUUUGUGUGAACAGACCUAAUGUCUUUUAUAGGAUUGCUGUUGUAAU